CCCGGGAUAGGCCCAGGGAAACCUGGAUUAAUACCGGAUGAGACGGGACCCGCGAAGGCCGGGACCCGGGAAAGGCGCUGCGGCGCCGCCGGGGGAUGAGUCUGCGUCCCAUUAGCUAGACGCGGGGUAACGGCCCACCGUGGCGACGAUGGGUAGCCGGCCUGAGAGGGUGGACGGCCACAUUGGAACUGAGACACGGUCCCAGACUCCUACGGGAGGCAGCAGCUAAGAAUCUUCCGCAAUGGGCGAAAGCCUGACGGGAAGCGACGCCGCGUGAACGAAGAAGGCCGUGAGGUUGUAAAGUUCUUUUCGGGAGGGGGAACAACCGUGGCAGGGAAUGGCCGCGGGAUGACGUGAAUCCCGGAAUAAGCCCCGGCUAACUACGUGCCAGCCGCCGC
rnacentral:rRNA from 1 species